rnacentral:rRNA from 1 species
AACGAACGCUGGCGGCAGGCUUAACACAUGCAAGUCGAGCGCCCCGCAAGGGGAGCGGCAGACGGGUGAGUAACGCGUGGCAACGUACCUUUUGGUUCGUAACAACUCCGGGAAACUGGAGCUAAUACCGGAUAAGCCCUAACGGGGAAAGAUUUAUCGCCGAAAGAUCGGCCCGCGUCUGAUUAGCUAGUUGGUGAGGUAACGGCUCACCAAGGCGACGAUCAGUAGCUGGUCUGAGAGGAUGAUCAGCCACACUGGGACUGAGACACGGCCCAGACUCCUACGGGAGGCAGCAGUGGGGAAUAUUGGACAAUGGGCGCAAGCCUGAUCCAGCCAGGCCGCGUGAGUGAUGAAGGCCUUAGGGUUGUAAAGCUCUUUUGUCCGGGAAGAUAAUGACUGUACCGGAAGAAUAAGCCCCGGCUAACUUCGUG